UACUGUACGCCAAGAAACCCUUCACAGGCAGGCGAAGGAGCUGCGCUUAAAAGCUGCCCGGCCUGUAGGAAUUCUACAAGGAAAAUGAAUGCAGUAUGAGCAUGAAAAUGCAGUAUGAGCAUGAAAACAAGGAUGGUGAUGUUGUGUCGGACCAAAGUAUCCUGUCUUCAGCAGUGGCCAGCAGUGGAUAUCAGGCUAGGACCAGGGCAAGCUGAUGUGAUGCUUCCCCAGAAUACUCUUUCAUUCUCCGGCAGUUUGCAGGUAAGGACAUUUUAUGAUCCUAGAAGGAUUCUGUAAAAUCUCUCAUAGGGAGUCAUAGGAUUCAUUUCUUUUAUUUGUGUAUUUUGGGGCCAUAAGCCCUUGAGCYAUAGUAAAACUGGAAUUCAGAUAUGGUGACAGGAGAACACACUAUUGGUUGUCAGCUGGGGCAGUUGGUUUCACAGCAAGCUUGCUGUUGUUGUCAGGACUCGUGUCUUAUGCAGGCUGAUCUCAGUAAGCUCAGCAAUCAUGUGGCUGAGCUGGCCAUUCUUUUCCAUUUUUUAUUCGAAAGGUGUCCCUAGAUAGUAACAACUGCCUGUAAAACAGUUGUCUGUUGUGUUUACAACCUGUGUGGUUUGCCAUUAACAAUGAAGUGCUCCAUGUGACCAUCUAGUCCCAGUGAUGUUAGAGGGACUCCUGCCACGGAUUCAAAAGAGGCCACAGGAUCCACCUUUGUCCAACAUGCAGCGCCGGAGGAGCUCAUGCUCGGGGACUGCGCAUGCUUCGCUCUGCUUCCUACCCGCAGAUCUACCACAUCACUUGAUGGGAAGAAUCACUCUGGUCCUGAGGAUUAUUUUUCGAAUGCUUGAUAUCGCUGGCAAAACAUACGGAGCAACUGCAACUCAAGCUGAAUUCAAAAGAAGCUUGCUCAAAAGGACCAAGCAAGAUGCCCUUAAAAUCAGUGCACUCAAAAGAAAUCAUUUAAACGUGGUUUAGAACUUGACCUUCUAAAAUUGGAUGGUUUGAUUAAGAUUUUCAACUCAGCUAAAUUAGCUGUACACAGUAUUGACAAAAGCUUUUCUUCUCGAACUAGAUUAGACACAUUAUCAGGAAGAGAAAGCACUCAGCAUCUUCCGACAUGCAAACAAUGCCUUGAUUGGUGUCUUUAUUCACUGUAUUAUACAGCCUAUUCACUGCAGGCAUAUUAGUCUUGAUCCUACAUUAGAGUAAACACUAAGAUUAUAAGGGACAGUAUGAGUAUAUAUAAACACAAUUAAAAACUAGGAGUACCUAGAAAAUAUGUAGACUGUAGACCAUCAUAUAUGCAUAUGCAAAAGAAAGUGCCUCACCAAUUCAUUGGUAUUCCAGUUCUAAUAAUUCAUUAACUUGGCAGAAAUCAGUAAGUGGUAGGUAAAAACAAGCACUGGAUGUCAUUUAUUUAGACAUUUGUAAGCCUGAUGUUACCCCAAAAAGCUAAAUACUCUUGGGAGAGGAGUACAUUUUAACAGGGGCAGAAAACAGAAAGAAAUGAUUAGUUUUAUUAAGCAGAGGUGAAAACCAGAUUUCAUAGUAAGUCCUGUAGUGCAUAUUAAUUGGAAAGGAGCCGACGAUCCAGUAGCAGCAUUUGCCAAUGGGCUAUUUAUAUCAGUCAGCAUGAGAGAAGACUUUAAAGAAGUCAAGAAGCCUUCAGCCCUACUAAGGAAAUGGGCACUAUAAUGGCAAAUACUAUCACUCAUGACAUACUGGAAGAAAAAGUUCUUUUAUAAAUACAUUACAGGAUUGUAAGUUAACUGUAUCAUCUCAAAAAAUGGAACUGGGCAUUACUGUGAACAGCAUGAUAACAGCUCUGUUCAGUAUGCAAUAUGAUAGAAGAAUUAAUGAGAUAUUGGGAAAUGUGGAAUAGAAUGAAAAAUAAUUCUGAGAAACUAGGCUGUUACGUAAUUCCAUGCCAUGGCCUUUUCUGGAAUACUGCUUGUGGGCCGCCUCAGUCUGAAAA
rnacentral:lncRNA from 1 species